rnacentral:tRNA from 1 species
AGCAGCGUGGCUCAGUGGAAAGAGCCCGGGCUUGGGGAGUCAGAGGUCAUGGGUUUGAAUCCUGGCUCUGCCG